rnacentral:rRNA from 1 species
AUGUCGAUGGUUCUGGUCAUACCGCCCCACGCACCCAACACAAUUACUCUCUCAUAUUCUCUCUUUUCCUCCCGGAUCUCCGUCCAGAUCUGCGCUCCCGCCACCCUAUAUCCGUUGCCAUGUGUGCAUCAUCUUCCUCUUCCUCUAAUCAGUUGUCCCUACUGCAAGAGGGGAGAUGUGGAAUGGUGGGUGUCCCACACCAAGCUGAACCCCAGGAGGCACUUCUACAAGUGUGGGCGUCACUGGAAAGGCAAAGGUUCUUUCAGAAGUGGGAAGAUGUCUAAAUCGAUGUUCUCAUAG